GGAGAUUUCCGUCCAAGUCUGUUUUCAGAUUUGGGAAGGCAGCUCGGUGCAUCUGUGGGGCAUCAAAUGGACAGGCCUUUUACCACGUGUAAUCUACCUGUUUGGAACCUCAGUUUCCCCAUCUGCAAAAUGGGAGUAGUCGUGAGAAUUAAAGUAAGAAAAGGGAGAUAUUUUCUACGCGAUAGAGAUAUUUUGUAAAUAAUACACUUCUUUCUUCUUGGAGGUAAAGCAGGGGAUGAAGAGUCAAAGCACCAGAAGCACAGCUGUCCUGCCAGCCCCUAAGUCAGCUCCAAGGGUGAGAAAUAGGAUGCAUUUCAGCCCCGAGGAAUGAACUCCUGGGACGUAUGUCUGUCAGGCAGAGUCUGGAGCACUUCCUAGAAAUCUUGACCUGUCGCCGUCAGUGGGGAAGGCUAAUUAAAGGAAAUAAAAGGCUGGUAGCCAGGAGAUUCCAACGUGCUGAGAAAACAAAGGCAGCCAACCUGCGAACUGCGAAGUCAGCUCUCAGCUUUGCCCCUGCCCCGCUCCCUCCACCACCCACCCAAACGCUCGCUCGUUUCUUCACCGGAUUUCCAGAUUUUGCACUACCAACCUACUCUUUGUUUACCCUGAUGGAUCAGCGGAGACAACCUUUGCAUAGGAGGCUAAUGCAGUAACCGAGGCCUCCGAGGCCAGCUCCCUCAACGGCUGGAGCUGUCUCUUCUUCAUCGUGUGUCCGAUGCAGGGCCAGGCAGCUGCCCGUGGUGGUUCAGAGUAAGGACAUGGAAAUGCAAAUGAAAACUACCAGACACGUCUAUUCCUUCAUCAGAAUGACUAACACUAAAAAGACUGACCAUAGCAAGUGUUGGUGAGGAUGUGGAAUGACUAAAACACUCAUACGCUUCUGAUGGGAAUGCAAAAUGAUACAGUACAGCACGUGGGAACACACUUUGGCAGUGUAUUAGAAAGUUAAAUGUGCACUUUACCAUAUGACCCAGCCAUCCACUCCUAGGUCCUUUCAAAAGUGAAAUGAAAACAGAUAUCUACUCAAAGACUUGUACACGAAUGCUCAGAGCAGCAUUAUUCAUGUAAGCCAAAAAGUGGAAGCAACUGAAAUGUCCAUCAAUAGCUGAAUGGAUCAACAAAAUGUGGUCUGUCUAUGCAAUGGAAUUAUAUUUGGCCAUAAAAAAGGAAUGAAGUACUGAUAGAUGUUAUAACGUGUAUGAACCUUGAAAACAUUCUGCCAAGUGAAAGAAGGGAGCGAUGAAAGACCACAUAUUGUAGGACUCCAUUUAGAUGAAAUGUCCAGAAUAGGCAAAUCUAUAGAGACACAAAGUAGAUUCAUGGCUGCCCGGGGCUGGAAGGAGGAAAGAAUGAGGAAUAACCACUAAUGGGUAGGGGCGUUUUUUUUGGGGUGCUGAAAAUGUUCUCAAAUUGAUUGUGGUGAUGCUUGCACAAGUCUGUGAAUAUAUUUUUAAAAAUGCUCAGUUGUAUACUUUAAAAGAGUGAAUUGGAUGGUAUGUGAGUUAUAGCUCAAUAAAGCAGGUACACGCACACGUACAUAGUGGCGAUGAGGACAUGACUCAAGCUUGACGCAAGCAGUCACGCAGCGCGAGGAGUCCCAUAAUUAGGCCUGCAGAUUGAAUCGGGCUGUGGAAUCUUGUUUGGC
rnacentral:lncRNA from 1 species